CGAAGAAUAAUACCCCAUAGUAUCUAAAUUUCGCAUGUUAUUUAGAUUAAAGUUUCGGCGGUAAGAGAUGAGUAUGCGUUCUAUUAGCUAGAUGGUGUGGUAACGGCACACCAUGGCAACGAUAGAUAGGGGCCCUGAGAGGGGGAUCCCCCACACUGGUACUGAGACACGGACCAGACUCCUACGGGAGGCAGCAGUGAGGAAUAUUGGACAAUGGGCGAAAGCCUGAUCCAGCCAUGCCGCGUGCAGGAAGACUGCCCUAUGGGUUGUAAACUGCUUUUAUACGGGAAGAAACCCAUCUACGUGUAGGUGGCUGACGGUACCGUAAGAAUAAGCAUCGGCUAACUCCGUGCCAGCAGCCGCGGUAAUACGGAGGAUGCAAGCGUUAUCCGGAAUCAUUGGGUUUAAAGGGUCCGUAGGUGGAUUGGUAAGUCAGAGGUGAAAGCCUGCAGCUCAACUGUAGAACUGCCUUUGAUACUGCUAGUCUUGAAUUAUUGUGAAGUGGUUAGAAUAUGUAGUGUAGCGGUGAAAUGCAUAGAUAUUACAUAGAAUACCAAUU
rnacentral:rRNA from 1 species